rnacentral:rRNA from 1 species
UACAGAGGGUGCGAGCGUUAAUCGGAAUUACUGGGCGUAAAGCGUGCGUAGACGGUUAUUUAAGUCGGGUGUGAAAGCCCCGGGCUCAACCUGGGAAUUGCAUUCGAGACUGAAUAGCUAGGGUACGGUAGAGGGAAGCGGAAUUUCCGGUGUAGCGGUGAAAUGCGUAGAUAUCGGGAGGAACACCAGUGGCGAAGGCGACUUCCUGGCCUGUUCUUGACGCUGAGGCGCGAAAGCUAGGGUAGCAAACGGG